rnacentral:rRNA from 1 species
CCUACGGGUGGCAGCAGUGGGGAAUAUUGGGCAAUGGGCGCAAGCCUGACCCAGCAACGCCGCGUGAAGGAAGCAGGCUUUCGGGUUGUAAACUUCUUUUAGGGGGGAAGAGGAGAAGACGGUAUCCCUUGAAUACGCCACGGGUAACUACGUGCCAGCAGCCGCGGUAAUACGUAGGUGGCAAGCGUUGUCCGGAUUGACUGGGUGUAAAGGGCGUGGAGCCGGGAGGACAAGUCAGAUGUGAAAUCCCGGGGCUCAACCGCGGGACUGCAUUUGAAACUGUUUUGCUUGAGUACCGGAGAGGUAAGUGGGAUUCCUUGUGGAGCGGUGAAAUGCGUAGAAAUUAGGAGGAAAACCAGUGGGGAAGGCGGAUUACUGGACUGCAACUGACGGGGAGGCGCGAAAGCGUGGGGAGCAAACAGGAUUAGAUACCCCAGUAGUC